AGGGGAGUGAAAAAGAACCUGAAACCGUGUACGUACAAGCAGUGGGAGCACAGAGCAAUCUGUGUGACUGCGUACCUUUUGUAUAAUGGGUCAGCGACUUAUAUUCUGUAGCAAGGUUAACCGAAUAGGGGAGCCGAAGGGAAACCGAGUCUUAACUGGGCGUUAAGUUGCAGGGUAUAGACCCGAAACCCGGUGAUCUAGCCAUGGGCAGGUUGAAGGUUGGGUAACACUAACUGGAGGACCGAACCGACUAAUGUUGAAAAAUUAGCGGAUGACUUGUGGCUGGGGGUGAAAGGCCAAUCAAACCGGGAGAUAGCUGGUUCUCCCCGAAAGCUAUUUAGGUAGCGCCUCGUGAAUUCAUCUCCGGGGGUAGAGCACUGUUUCGGCAAGGGGGUCAUCCCGACUUACCAACCCGAUGCAAACUGCGAAUACCGGAGAAUGUUAUCACGGGAGACACACGGCGGGUGCUAACGUCCGUCGUGAAGAGGGAAACAACCCAGACCGCCAGCUAAGGUCCCAAAGUCAUGGUUAAGUGGGAAACGAUGUGGGAAGGCCCAGACAGCCAGGAUGUUGGCUUAGAAGCAGCCAUCAUUUAAAGAAAGCGUAAUAGCUCACUGGUCGAGUCGGCCUGCGCGGAAGAUGUAACGGGGCUAAACCAUGCACCGAAGCUGCGGCAGCGACGCUGAUGCGUUGUUGGGUA
rnacentral:rRNA from 1 species